rnacentral:rRNA from 1 species
UACGGGGGGGGCAAGCGUUGUUCGGAAUUACUGGGCGUAAAGGGCUCGUAGGCGGCCAACUAAGUCGGACGUGAAAUCCCUCGGCUUAACCGGGGAACUGCGUCCGAUACUGGAUGGCUUGAAUUCGGGAGAGGGAUGCAGAAUUCCAGGUGUAGCGGUGAAAUGCGUAGAUAUCUGGAGGAAUACCGGUGGCGAAGGCGGCAUCCUGGACCGACAUUGACGCUGAGGAGCGAAAGCUAGGGGAGCAAACGGG